GGCUUCGUGGCUCAGCAGGUAGAGCACUUGCCGUACAGAGGCAUGGUGUUUCUGUCGCUUGUACGAAUCCAGCGGAAGCCC